CGGGAAGUGACAUCAUAUUGGAGGGAACGUAACAGGGCAAACAUUUAUCUGGCACAGUGAGUAGGAGGAUUUUGAUAAAGACGUUGGCACAAAGACAAAGCCUCAGGUGCAGUCACCUCUGACAGUCUGAUCACCUCUACCAGCCAUCUGUGAAAAAUGGGUUGGCCAACCUCUCUCAUGACAGUAUAAUGUGGACCUGUCUGUGCUUGACAGCACGGCAAAGAUCAAACGACAUUCUGGAAGAUCAAGAGCAAUUCAUCACUGUCAUACUUCCGGACGUCUUCCCAAAAGCCCGACCUCUUUUGUGUUUUUAUCUGCGACGAACGUGCAAAGUGAGCAUCGAGAACAAUGUAAUGGGUGUCAACCGGUGGCGAUGCCCGAGUUCAGUCUGUGCUCAGCAUCAAUUAUUGCUCCAGCAUCGUGAUCCUCUCCGGAGUCAGCAGCGUCUACUGGACCGAUCUUUGAUCAUCUCACUACACAGAAUUAUCAUAGGUGUGUAAAACUAUUCAAAAUGUGAUUUUAUUUUAAACACUAGAUGUUGCAGCAAAAGCACUUUGAUGUGGGAUCCACAUUAAAAUACUAUAAAAUAACUAUAGUUGUUUGCUUUGAAGAUAUCGUAGGGACACAGUAUGUUCACCAUCUUAUUUGUCCAAGCGAUAAUACUUUUCAAAUUGCUGUUGGUUUUAUGUGACUGUAAACGGUGUAAAUAAUGGCUGUUUUAUAGCGCUGCAUCAGUCCACAGUGCAGUUGUUCCUCUGAAUUACCUCGUGAAUGAUUUAUGUCUGCCAGUGCGGCCCUCAACGACUGAGGGCCGAGGGCCAAUAAAUGUGUUUUCAUAGGUAAACACGCCAUAUUAAAUACCUGCUUACUGGGGCAUUUCAGCUACACGAAGAACAUUUGGUCUCAUUUCACUUGUCAAACAUAAGAGUGUCACAACUACUCCAGACAACACAAACCAUUUACCACAGUUAAACACAGCCAAGCACGGCAGAAGAACACUAAGCAAACACAGACAUGGAAACAGGCCUGAAUCGAGCUGAAAAGAUACUUUACUAAUGGAUUCAGUAGCUUUAAAGUAUUUAUUUGCUGACUGGUACAUGGUAUGGGAUGGCCAAUUGAUCUGUAGGUAAAGACAAUUUUAAAGAGGUUUGUGUAGUACUUAUAGGCCAUUCCACCGAAUCAGUGCCAAUGCCUCAGGACAUUAUAUGUAUUAAAAUGCAUUUUAUUAUUAACCAAAGUGUCCUGUAUGUUAAACACCAAAUUUAAACUAUAUUUCAAACAUUUUUAAAAACAUCCUGACUACCCCUUUUGCUCAAAAUUUCGAAGUCAGGAGCGAUGAUGGUA